AGAGUUUGAUCAUGGCUCAGAUUGAACGCUGGCGGCAGGCCUAACACAUGCAAGUCGAGCGGUAACAGGGGUAGCUUGCUACCCGCUGACGAGCGGCGGACGGGUGAGUAAUGCAUAGGAAUCUGCCCGAUAGUGGGGGAUAACCUGGGGAAACCCAGGCUAAUACCGCAUACGUCCUACGGGAGAAAGGGGGCUUUGGCUCCCGCUAUUGGAUGAGCCUAUGUCGGAUUAGCUAGUUGGUAAGGUAAUGGCUUACCAAGGCAACGAUCCGUAGCUGGUCUGAGAGGAUGAUCAGCCACAUCGGGACUGAGACACGGCCCGAACUCCUACGGGAGGCAGCAGUGGGGAAUAUUGGACAAUGGGGGCAACCCUGAUCCAGCCAUGCCGCGUGUGUGAAGAAGGCCCUCGGGUUGUAAAGCACUUUCAGCGAGGAAGAACGCCUGUCGGUUAAUACCCGGUAGGAAAGACAUCACUCGCAGAAGAAGCACCGGCUAACUCCGUGCCAGCAGCCGCGGUAAUACGGAGGGUGCAAGCGUUAAUCGGAAUUACUGGGCGUAAAGCGCGCGUAGGUGGCUUGAUAAGCCGGUUGUGAAAGCCCCGGGCUCAACCUGGGAACGGCAUCCGGAACUGUCAGGCUAGAGUGCAGGAGAGGAAGGUAGAAUUCCCGGUGUAGCGGUGAAAUGCGUAGAGAUCGGGAGGAAUACCAGUGGCGAAGGCGGCCUUCUGGACUGACACUGACACUGAGGUGCGAAAGCGUGGGUAGCAAACAGGAUUAGAUACCCUGGUAGUCCACGCCGUAAACGAUGUCGACCAGCCGUUGGGUGCCUAGAGCACUUUGUGGCGAAGUUAACGCGAUAAGUCGACCGCCUGGGGAGUACGGCCGCAAGGUUAAAACUCAAAUGAAUUGACGGGGGCCCGCACAAGCGGUGGAGCAUGUGGUUUAAUUCGAUGCAACGCGAAGAACCUUACCUACCCUUGACAUCUACAG
rnacentral:rRNA from 1 species